UGUAAGCUAUGAGCAACACAGCGCGAAAAAAGACCAGGGACAAGACGAAGACUACAAAGUUUGUUUGUAGUCUUUGUAUUGUCCCUGGUCUUUUUUCGCACUGUGUUGCUCAUGGAUUACC
rnacentral:pre_miRNA from 1 species